rnacentral:rRNA from 1 species
UACGAAGGGGGCUAGCGUUGCUCGGAAUCACUGGGCGUAAAGGGUGCGUAGGCGGGUCUUUAAGUCAGGGGGGAAAUCCUGGAGCUCAACUCCAGAACUGCCUUUGAUACUGAAGAUCUUGAGUCCGGGAGAGGUGAGUGGAACUGCGAGUGUAGAGGUGAAAUUCGUAGAUAUUCGCAAGAACACCAGUGGCGAAGGCGGCUCACUGGCCCGAUACUGACGCUGAGGCACGAAAGCGUGGGGAGCAAACAGG